rnacentral:rRNA from 1 species
UACGUAGGUGGCAAGCGUUAUCCGGAAUGACUGGGCGUAAAGGGUGCGUAGGUGGUUUGGCAAGUUGGCGGCGUAAUUCCGAGGCUCAACCUCGGCGCUACCGCCAAAACUGUCUAACUUGAGUGCAGGAGGGGUAAGUGGAAUUCCUAGUGUAGCGGUGGAAUGCGUAGAUAUUAGGAGGAACAUCAGCGGCGAAGGCGACUUACUGGACUGUAACUGACACUGAGGCACGAAAGCGUGGGGAGCAAACAGG